rnacentral:lncRNA from 1 species
AGAAAGAAGACUUGCCUAGGAUAUUUCGUGAUUUAUUGUUUUCUGAUCUUAUUGGGUGUGUCCGAACUCGUGUAGUCUGACUCGCCCCCUUAGCGCAACAAAAAAAAAGAACAAGAAAAAAAAAGGCCUAUAAAAUAGAAGGCCACUCCCAUUAUAAUGUAACAAAUUGGAGAAUACAAGCCUUGCUAUUUUAGAAUUCCUCUCCCUCUGCUCCAAUCUAUUCCCUCUC